UGUUGCAGCGCAUGAUCUCUCGCCGCUUCGCUUCUUGCUUCUCCCGUUCAGCUGAGGCAGCUCCCGCGGGACGAUGAUCGAGUCGGCCAUGGCGGUCCGGUUCGCCUCCGGUUCCAGCUUCUGCUCCUCCUCCGCCAUAACUUAGAGAGGCAUAAGCAUAAUGUUGUCCGCUUGAUGGAGCGGUUUUAGAUUCUCCUUUUUGCUUUCCAAAGGUUACCGUUCGUUCUGGAGCUCGGAUGAGUGCCCCGGCGUCCACGCGAGCUCUCGCCGGAUUUCGCACCCGGGCAGCUUCGACAUGCCGUGUUACCAGAGGUUCAACGGCGGUUCGCUCGUAAGAAAGAAAAAUGUUACGAGGAAUAAAGUUAGAGCUACUGCAGAGCAUUUAGGCUCUGCCUCUGAUCCGGCUAAGUGCAAUGGAAGGGCCGAAUAUCAUCCGUUUGAGGAUAUUGCUGAAUUAGCCUCUGGUGGGGAUGCGACACUUACUGCCGCAGAAACCACUAGGACUACCGUCGAGGUUAACACCAAAGCGACCCUGUUGUUUUCCGGUAUGAUUGAUGAUGAAAUCCACGAGAACAUUCUAUGGCCAGAUUUGCCUUACACUAUUGAUGAACAGGGAAAUAUUUAUUUUCAGGUAAAUGAUGAUGAGGAGAUUAUUCACACACUAGCUUCGGGGAGUAAUGUUGUGCAAGUGAUAAUAGGCCUGAAUACCAUGGAAAUGAUCAAUGAGAUGGAAAUAUCAGGUUCAGCAGAUGUUGAGUUUGGGAUUGAGGAGAUUGGGGAGGAAGACAGUGAUAUUGAAGAUGAAGAUGAAGAUGAUGAGGAUGAGGAUGAGGAUGAUGAAGAUGAUGAUUAUGGAGAGGACUGGGUUUCUGUACUUGACGAGGAUGAUGAGGACCAAUCUGAUGGAGAUCCAGGAGAUUGGGCAAAAUUGGAGACGAUGAGAUCUUCUCACCCAAUGUACUUUGCCAAAAAGUUGACUGAGGUUGCUUCAGAUAUCCCUGUUGAUUGGAUGAAACGGCCUCCUGUUGGCAUUGUCGUACAGGGCCUUUUAAGCCCUGCACUUCUCGAAGGACACUCCAUUGAUCAGAGACACCUGCCUAGACAUCAUUCUGGUGCCGGAGUAGAUCACGCUGGAAGUAUCCUUGAAGACAAACAAGUAGAUUCUAGUACCACUGAUGCUGAUGGACAAGAACAUUCACUUGAGGAUGUCCCCAGUUGGGCAGAGGAACUGGGCGAGAAUGGAAGCCCCAGGAGUGGGAAGUCAUUUUACAAGCUCGAGAUGAUUAAUAUUCAGCUGCUUUCAGUACAUGGUCAUCCGCAAACUGUUGAAGUAGAAGAUUUCAGGAAAGCGCAACCAGAUGCUAUUGCUCACUUGGCUGCCAAGAUUAUUUCCCGAUUGAAAGCUGGCAAAGAGAAAACUAUGCAAGCCCUCAAGUCUCUCUGCUGGAGAUGCAAGGGGAUUCAAGUGGAGGAGGCUAUGAUAAUUGGUGUUGAUGCUCUUGGUUUUGAUGUAAGAAUCUGCUCAGGAACACAACUUCAAACAUUGCGCUUUGCAUUUGACACAAGGCUUCAGCCAAACUCCCUUUGGAAGCUGGGAGCUAACACGAGAAAAAAACCCCAGAGGAGCUUCCUUGUUUUUGUUUCUUUUCCCUUGCUUGAAUUGGUUAGAGCUUAAUCCUUUUGUGAACAUCAACAAGAUGCAUUAGUGUGGCCCUUUUCUAUCAAAAGCCAUCAGGGCAAAGUGAUCCCGGCAAACAGUGACAAAUUUUUAGAAGCCAGCCCUUUUGGCCACUUCAGAGCAAAGUGCUGAGAGACAACUUAAUAACCUACUAUUCCCAAGGGUCCAGCACAAGCCACAAAAGAAGAAGGAGGCUCAUUAAAAACGAAGCGUAACGUUUCAGGUUUCAACACGAGUGCAGAAUUGUUUGUUGUAUCGCUCUCAAUUGAUUAAUUUAGCACCUCCAGUGCAAAAAAAAAAAAAAAAGGAAUGGAGAAGGAAAAGAUGAAGAGAAAAA